rnacentral:rRNA from 1 species
UACGAAGGGGGCUAGCGUUGCUCGGAAUCACUGGGCGUAGAGCGCACGUAGGCGGCUUCUUAAGUCAGGGGUGAAAUCCUGGAGCUCAACUCCAGAACUGCCUUUGAUACUGAGGAGCUUGAGUCCGGGAGAGGUGAGUGGAACUGCGAGUGUAGAGGUGAAAUUCGUAGAUAUUCGCAAGAACACCAGUGGCGAAGGCGGCUCACUGGCCCGGUACUGACGCUGAGGUGCGAAAGCGUGGGGAGCAAACAGG